rnacentral:rRNA from 1 species
GACGAACGCUGGCGACAUGCUUAACACAUGCAAGUCGAACGGAAAGGCCCUGCUUUUGUGGGGUGCUCGAGUGGCGAACGGGUGAGUAACACGUGAGUAACCUGCCCUUGACUUUGGGAUAACUUCAGGAAACUGGGGCUAAUACCGGAUAGGAGCUCCUGCUGCAUGGUGGGGGUUGGAAAGUUUCGGCGGUUGGGGAUGGACUCGCGGCUUAUCAGCUUGUUGGUGGGGUAGUGGCUUACCAAGGCUUUGACGGGUAGCCGGCCUGAGAGGGUGACCGGCCACAUUGGGACUGAGAUACGGCCCAGACUCCUACGGGAGGCAGCAGUGGGGAAUAUUGCACAAUGGGCGGAAGCCUGAUGCAGCAACGCCGCGUGCGGGAUGACGGCCUUCGGGUUGUAAACCGCUUUCGCCUGUGACGAAGCGUGAGUGACGGUAAUGGGUAAAGAAGCACCGGCUAACUACGUG